rnacentral:rRNA from 1 species
UACGUAGGGGGCAAGCGUUGUCCGGAAUUAUUGGGCGUAAAGAGCUCGUAGGCGGUCUGUCGCGUCUGCUGUGAAAACUCAGGGCUUAACCCUGAGCUUGCAGUGGGUACGGGCAGGCUAGAGUGCGGUAGGGGAGACUGGAAUUCCUGGUGUAGCGGUGAAAUGCGCAGAUAUCAGGAGGAACACCGGUGGCGAAGGCGGGUCUCUGGGCCGUAACUGACGCUGAGGAGCGAAAGCAUGGGGAGCGAACAGG